rnacentral:rRNA from 1 species
GAUGAACGCUGGCGGCGUGCCUAAUACAUGCAAGUCGAGCGAAGCGGGGACGGGUGAGUAACACGUGGAUAACCUCCUCUAAGACUGGGAUAACUUCGGGAAACCGGAGCUAAACCGGAUACUUAUCACUGGAUCGGACCUGCAUUAGCUAGUUGGGAAGGUAACGGCUUACCAAGUCAACGAUGACUAGCCGACCUGAGAGGGUGAUCGGCCACACUGGAACUGAGACACGGUCCAGACUCCUACGGGAGGCAGCAGUAGGGAAUCUUCCGCAAUGGGCGAAAGCCUGACGUAGCAACGCCGCGUGAGUUAUGAAGGUCUUCGGAUCGUAAAACUCUGUUAUUAGGGAAGCGUUACCUAAUCAGAAAGCCACGGCUAACUACGUGCCAGCAGCCGCGGUAAUUC